GGGCCUGCGGUGCGGGCGCGACCGCGGGCGCUGCGCGCUCCUCCGCUCGCGGACCGGGCCCCGACGCCACGUCCACGCUGCUGCCCCUCCGGGGCUGGACGGAUUACCGCUCCUCGCGCCAGCAGACGGCGGGACUGGAGAACUGAGCCCAGUUUUUGUCUUUUUAACCCUUUGGAGAAGAGGCGAGGAGAAAGGGGGUGUGUGCCUAAGGAGGGCGAAGGCGCAGCUAACACCUCUUAACUCUCGCAGCUCCGCGAGCUCACGACUGCAAUCAUCUGCCGCCAGCUCCAGGCGGCCGACGCCGGGAAAGCGGAGUGGAGAGCAGCGCAGCAGCCGGGAAGCGCGGCCUGGGCGGCUUCGGGGCGCCCCCGCACCCCCAUCCCCAGCGACAGCCCAGGGAGAGGGCUGGGGGCGCCGGAGACACACUUUGGCGAUGAAGCGCCUUCCCCCGCGGCUGGAGCGAGCUGGUGCCAGGGUCCAAGGACAAAGCAGGGAAGCGCCGGUGGCGCCGCUCUUCGGGAUCUCGGGGGGGCAUGCACCUGCAUAGCCCGCCGGGCCUUGGCUCUCCCUGGCGCGCCUCAACUCCGCGGCUUCGCCGGCUCCGGAUUUACUAGAAGCCAUUUUGUCUCCCCCACCCCUCCCCUCCCCGCUGCCCUCCCUGCCCCCACCACUUCCCCCUUUGUUAAUUAAAACUAAAGUCAGAAUGGGAACGAUGUACCCAGCUCCCGUGGAGAAAGCUUAAGGACAAGGCGCUAAUUCUUUCCUGCUUUCCUUCCGAGAUGGAAAGAGGAGCUCCUAGCUCACUUAAGCCGGGGUAAGGCUGGUUCUCUUUUCCAAGCCAAAAUCCCAGGCGAUGGUGAAUUAUGAACGUGCCACACCAUGAAGCUCUUGUGGCAGGUAACUGUGCACCACACCUGGAAUGCCGUCCUGCUUCCCGUCGUCUACCUCACGGCGCAAGUGUGGAUUCUGUGUGCAGCCAUCGCUGCUGCCGCUUCAGCCGGGCCCCAGAACUGCCCCUCCGUCUGUUCCUGCAGUAACCAGUUCAGCAAGGUGGUGUGCACCCGCCGGGGCCUCUCUGAGGUCCCGCAGGGUAUUCCUUCCAACACCCGGUAUCUCAACCUCAUGGAAAACAACAUCCAGAUGAUUCAGGCCGACACCUUCAGGCACCUCCACCACUUGGAGGUCCUGCAGCUGGGCAGGAACUCCAUCAGGCAAAUAGAGGUGGGGGCCUUCAAUGGCCUCGCCAGUCUCAACACCCUGGAACUGUUUGACAACUGGCUGACUGUCAUCCCCAGUGGGGCCUUUGAGUACCUGUCAAAGCUGCGGGAGCUCUGGCUUCGCAACAACCCCAUUGAAAGCAUCCCCUCUUAUGCCUUCAACCGGGUGCCCUCCCUCAUGCGUCUGGACUUGGGGGAGCUCAAGAAGCUGGAGUAUAUCUCCGAGGGAGCUUUUGAGGGACUGUUCAAUCUCAAGUACCUGAAUUUGGGCAUGUGCAACAUUAAGGAUAUGCCCAAUCUUACACCGCUAGUGGGGCUAGAGGAGCUUGAGAUGUCAGGGAACCACUUUCCUGAGAUCAGGCCAGGGUCCUUCCAUGGCCUUAGCUCUCUCAAGAAACUGUGGGUGAUGAACUCACAAGUCAGCUUGAUUGAGAGGAAUGCUUUUGAUGGGCUGGCUUCCCUUGUGGAACUCAACUUGGCCCACAAUAACCUUUCAUCCUUGCCCCAUGACCUCUUCACUCCCCUGAGAUACCUAGUGGAGUUGCACCUACACCACAAUCCUUGGAACUGUGAUUGUGACAUCCUGUGGCUGGCUUGGUGGCUUCGGGAGUACAUUCCCACCAAUUCCACCUGCUGUGGCCGCUGUCAUGCUCCCAUGCACAUGCGAGGCCGUUACCUGGUGGAGGUGGACCAGGCGGCCUUUCAGUGCUCUGCUCCCUUCAUCAUGGAUGCACCCCGGGACCUCAAUAUCUCUGAGGAUCGGAUGGCAGAACUUAAGUGCCGGACUCCCCCUAUGUCCUCUGUGAAGUGGUUGCUGCCCAAUGGAACAGUGCUCAGCCACGCCUCCCGACACCCACGGAUCUCUGUCCUUAAUGAUGGCACCUUGAACUUUUCUCGUGUGCUGCUCAUAGACACUGGAGUAUACACAUGCAUGGUGACCAAUGUGGCAGGCAACUCCAAUGCCUCGGCCUACCUCAAUGUGAGCUCGGCCGAGCUCAACACCCCCAACUUCAGCUUCUUCACCACAGUAACAGUGGAGACCACAGAGAUCUCACCUGAGGACAUAACACGAAAGUACAAGCCUGUUCCCACCACAUCCACUGGUUACCAGCCGGCAUAUACCACCUCUACCACGGUGCUCAUUCAGACCACCCGUGUGCCCAAGCAGGUGCCAGUACCCUCAACAGACACCACCGACAAGAUGCAGACCAGCCUGGAUGAAGUCAUGAAGACCACCAAGAUCAUCAUUGGCUGCUUUGUGGCCGUGACACUCCUAGCUGCUGCCAUGUUGAUUGUCUUCUAUAAACUUCGCAAGCGGCACCAGCAGCGGAGUACAGUCACAGCUGCCAGGACAGUAGAGAUUAUCCAGGUGGAUGAAGACAUCCCAGCAGCAGCAUCUGCAGCAGCAACAGCAGCGCCAUCCGGUGUAUCAGGGCUAGCAGGAAUGAGGCUGCCUUGGCUGGAGGAAGAAGAUGGUGUGAGUCUCAAGCCCCAGUGGAGCAAGACGAUGUGCCAUCUGCUGCACUAGUUGCUGCAUCUCCAAGUCAUGCCCAGUCUGUAGUCUGCUGCCUGUCUUAGGAGCUGAGCCCCUAGCACCUCCUACCCAUGGCAAACCUCGAACCUCUGUACUGUGGCUGCCAAGAUGAUGCGAAAGCAGGGGGCUACUUUCCAAUUAGGAGAAAAACAUAUUACACGGAAAUAUAGUCUUCAUUUCCUUUUUUUCCUUCAUCAUCUCCAGCUAUUUAUAAAGCUUUGGCCUAAAAAGCAAAGCUGUUGAACAAAGCCGAGGAAGAAGAGGGGAUGUCAGGCUCCCCUUACCCCAUCCACGCAGGACACUGGUUUGCGAAUGAUUCAUGGGAAAAGAACAAUCACCCUGCCGGCAGCCUCACAUGUAAUUAACCAACUUGACAGACAGCUGGCUGCCUUCUCCAGAUCUAGCACCCGCAGAUCACAUAGUCAUACUGAGGUUUCAGUGACGUCUCCCCACUGGAAGAGGGACAUCCAAAAUAGUGACCUCGAUACACUAGCACUCAGGAAGCAUGAUUGAGGUGGCAGUGCUCUUCUGGACAAGCCUGGCUGGGUGCAGCCUCCUGACAUCAACAAGCAGCCAGUGCCGGGACCACCAUUCCACAUAGAUUGCCAUUAACUGCAUACUCAGGUUUCUCCAACACAGCAACAAGCAGAGUGCUGGCAAGCAGCGACGGCUCGGUAAGUGUAUGCUGGCUAGCUGGCCUUCUGGAAGACGAUGUCAAGAGGAGUACAAAUGACUGUGGAAUUCGUGACAAAGGCCUCAAAGGGCUCUUGGAUGGCUGGAUUGCAGAUCAAUCUUCUAGACAGAAAUACCAAGGAAAGGCAGCAAAAAAAUCAUAUUCUCAGGACCACAAGAUGACUGGAGUGUGAAGACCUAGAAGUUUGCACUUUUAAGCCGGUUAUCUACCCAUUAGCUAAUGCUAUCUCUCAUCCCUAUUUCUGGGAAGACGCUAGCAACAAGCACAACUCCCUGUCUGGGAAAUUACUCUGGAUCUUCCUGUCCUUGGCAGUGUCACAGGGAGUUGCUUUAAAAAGGCUGCUGUAUGGUGGGGGUGGGGAGGAGAGGAUAAAAUAUGUCAUUAAGCACAUGCUAGCCAAUGGGAGAUAGCACUUACAGCUCACACAAAACAACAAUUUUAAGUUCUAUACCUCAGAAGCAGCCCAGCCUCAAGGACAGAGACUUCUUAAAGCUCUACAUAGUUACCAUAAUUUAACCCAAUUCAGCAUAGUCUAAACCACAUGGAUUAUAAGCAAACUUUAUCUGUAGCCCAUAUGACUUCUGACAUCUUUUACUCAACUCCACUACACUGACUUAUGGUAUAAAAGCAGUCAUAGACAAUGCACAAAAGAAUUACCCUGGAUAUAUUUGAGUAAAGGUAAGGAUUUAAAUCCUUGGAGAGGCCCAUGGCUGCUCUGAGCCAUGAUCAGAUCAGAGAAUCAGCUAAUAACCUGGUAUUUGACUUCUAGCUCUUCCCGCCUUGGGACUGGCAACACCACUUGCAUGCCGGACCACUGCCCAGGACCAGAAUUCCUAAAUUCAAGAGAAUUGAGGCCAAAAGGAAUCAAUGGCUAAGGGGAAGCAUCUGGUAGAAGACAGGAAAGAGUGGUGUAAUGAAAAGGACAAGAGAGCCACUUAGGAAAAAGGGACUGAAUGGUGGCUGCAAAUGUCAGUAGUUCUGUGCAUAAGGAAAGCAUGGUAAUCAGGUCUCAAGAUAUGGGAGAAAAGCUCUGUCGUCCCUUUCAGGCUCUACAUAGGGGAUGGGGAUGGAAAAGCAAGCAAUUUCCUACUCACUCAAUACAGAGGGAGAGACACAUGAGGAUCUGUGCCCUGUUCAUUCAAAGCCAGGAAUAUAUCCUCAGCAAACGGCACUGUUUCUCAGUGUCCACACCCUGAAAGUCAGCUUCCCAUUCUUUUCUUGACAGAGGUCUGGCCUUGGUACAGUGACAAUAAUACUUUUUGUUUUGACCUUUCUCUGAUCAUGAAGUGCUUCCACUUAUGGAGAAUCUAGUAAAAACUUUCCCUUAGUAAUUCAGAUUUAUAGUAUCUGGGAGAAAGCAGGCCAAGGUAGAGAAACCCUGGGCCCAAAGGCGAUAAUGUGAACAAAGGUUUAAAAACUUAAAAGGGAAGGUGGGAUAGAGCCAAGGACAGUCAGAUUUUUAAAUACCCAGUUAUGCUUGAUUAUCAAAGGAAUAGGCAUAAGCACAAAAAUCAAUGCUCAACUGCCACAGAGCUCCAGCUCUCCUGCAGUCACACAG